UUGGCUUUAGUCUUUUUUGAUUUUAUACUACAAGUCAUAGAAGUCAGAUCAUGCAGACGCAAGAGCGUCAGUCUGCCUUUACUUAAUAGGGCUGAAUCUAACCUACAAUAAAUGGAUUGUCGAGAAGAACCAUUUCAUGAGACAAGUUCAGUCUGCUGCGUCUACUAGUCCCAUCAUCGUCGGCUAGUCACAUAGCGUGGAAAAAGAACCUAGUAUGGGCGAUCCGGCUUAGUAACAU
rnacentral:lncRNA from 1 species